GACGAACGCUGGCGGCGUGCUUAACACAUGCAAGUCGAACGGAAAGGCCCUGCUUUUGUGGGGUGCUCGAGUGGCGAACGGGUGAGUAACACGUGAGUAACCUGCCCUUGACUUUGGGAUAACUUCAGGAAACUGGGGCUAAUACCGGAUAGGAGCUCCUGCUGCAUGGUGGGGGUUGGAAAGUUUCGGCGGUUGGGGUUGGACUCGCGGCUUAUCAGCUUGUUGGUGGGGUAGUGGCUUACCAAGGCUUUGACGGGUAGCCGGCCUGAGAGGGUGACCGGCCACAUUGCGACUGCGAUACGGCCCAGACGCCUACGGGAGGCAGCAGUGGGGAAUAUUGCCCAAUGGGAGGAAGCCUGAUGCAGCAACGCCGCGUGCGGGAUGACGGCCUUCGGGUUGUAAACAGCUUCCGCCUGUGACGCAGCGUGAGUGACGGUAAUGGGUGAAGAAGCACCGGCUAACUACGUG
rnacentral:rRNA from 1 species